AAACCGUCCAGGGGUAAACCUGCGAAACUCGAAUGAACGAACGGAGAGAUUCAUCGUCACUCCUCGGUGCACUUGCGCGAGUUCGAUGCUUUCGGCCUCGGCCGUGGGCACUGCUCGCGUUCGUCGCGUCCGGGGACGGCGUGCACUUCUCUCUUAGUAAUACAUCGCGACCCGUUCGAUGUCGGUCUAAGUGCCCGUCCGGGAGUCUUCGCACCGGUUCACCGGUGUGUAGACCGUGGGGUGCACCGACCGGCGGUCGGACGGUAGAUCAAACGAAACGCUCACGCGCUCGGCGCGUCCGGCCCGACGCAAGGCAACGUCGUAUCCCGCGUCCUGCCAGAGUGCGGACGCGAGUGCGGCGCGCCUGUCGUCGCAGCCGUGCUGUCUCGGACUGUGUGCGUAUC
rnacentral:rRNA from 1 species